GAUGAAGAACGUAGUGAAAUGCGAUAAGUAAUGUGAAUUGCAGAAUUCAGUGAAUCAUCGAAUCUUUGAACGCACAUUGCGCCCGCCGGUAUUCCGGCGGGCAUGCCUGUCCGAGCGUCAUUUCACCACUCAAGCCCGGCUUGGUGUUGGGGAUCGGCGAGCCUCCGCGCCCGCCGUCCCCUAAAUCUAGUGGCGGUCUCGCUGUAGCUUCCUCUGCGUAGUAGCACACCUCGCACUGGGAAACAGCGCGGCCACGCCGUUAAACCCCCAACUUCUGAACGUUUGACCUCGGAUCAGGUAGGAAUACCCGCUGAACUUAAGCAUAUCAAUAAGCGGAGGA
rnacentral:misc_RNA from 1 species